CGUGCGGACCCGGGGAGCCCGCAUAAGGCGGGCUGAGAGGCCGACCAGCAACCGUCGGCGACCCGUCGACCCGAUCGCGGUCAUGCGCGCGUGGGGAGGGAAAAGUGGUGGCAG
rnacentral:ncRNA from 1 species